UUUCCGUAGGUGAACCUGCGGAAGGAUCAUUCAUAAUAAAGUGUUUUAUGGCACUUUUUAAAAAUCCAUAUCCACCUUGUGUGCAAUGUUAGAUCUCGUCAAUCUUGGCGAGAUUUUUAUACAUCAACUCAUUCUUUAACUAAUUUGUCUGAAAAAUAUUAUGAAUACUUGAUUCAAAAUACAACUUUCAACAACGGAUCUCUUGGCUCUC
rnacentral:misc_RNA from 1 species